CAGGUAAAAUUCUCCCUUAAAUAGGAUUCUCAUUAUUGUUCUUUUAGGAUCCGAGAGUUAUUUUAUUUGGGUAUCGAAUUGUGAUUGUCACAUUGUCACAGAUCAGCAGUGACUUGUGCAUAAUGAAUUACUGUUCUUUCUUACAGGUUGCAAGUAAACCUCUAAUGAUUGUAGGGUCUAAUUAGCAACAGUGUCAACUCUUUUAACUAGAAAUAAUUGAUUAAAAACUUUCACUGUGAGAGCUCCACCCAUUCCUAAGAAACACCCAAUUUAAAAAAAGCACUGGAGCUCACGUGUCACUGGAUGAGAAAAGAAACUCUGUGUCACAGCAUGUAAUUCUGAACUAUAUGAUUUUCCUAAAGGUCUUGGACUUCAGGUGAAAGACGUUCUGUCAGCCAGGAUUCAGGAACAUCCCUCAGGAAGAGAGAGCUACCUGCUGCUUUGUCUGUGUAUUGUGCCCCGAGAGAGAAAUAUGUA